ACGAACGCUGGCGGCGUGCUUAACACAUGCAAGUCGAACGGGUCUGCCCUGUUUUUUGCGGGGUGGGUCAGUGGCGAACGGGUGAGUAACACGUGAGUAACCUGCCCCUCACUUCUGGAUAACCGCUUGAAAGGGUGGCUAAUACGGGGUGUUCUGGCUGUGCCGCAUGGUGUGGCUGGGAAAGAUUCACUUUUGUGGUGUUUUGGUGGGGGAUGGGCUCGCGGCCUAUCAGCUUGUUGGUGGGGUGAUGGCCUGCCAAGGCUUUGACGGGUAGCCGGCCUGAGAGGGUGGGCGGUCACACUGGGACUGAGAUACGGCCCAGACUCCUGCGGGUGGCAGCAGUGGGGGGUAUUGCACAAUGGGCGGAAGCCUGAUGCAGCGACGUCGCGUGAGGGAUGGAGGCCUUCGGGUUGUGAACCUCUUUCGCCGGUGAAGAAGGUCCUGCUCUUUGUGGUGGGGUUGACGGUAGCCGGGUUAUGAAGCGCCGGCUAACUACGUG
rnacentral:rRNA from 1 species